CCUACGGGAGGCAUCAGUAGGGAAUAUUGCUCAAUGGGGGAAACCCUGAAGCAGCAACGCCGCGUGGAGGCUGAAGGUUUUCGGAUUGUAAACUCCUUUUGUUAGAGGAGAUAAUGACGGUAUCUAACGAAUAAGCACCGGCUAACUCCGUGCCAGCCGCCGCGGUCAUACGGAGGGGGCAAGAGUUACUCGGAAUCACUGGGCGUAAAGAGCGCGUAGGCGGGAUAGCAAGUCAGAUGUGAAAUCCUAUGGCUUAACCAUAGAACUGCAUUUGAAACUGUUAUUCUAGAGUAUGGGAGAGGUAGGUGGAAUUCUUGGUGUAGGGGUAAAAUCCGUAGAGAUCAAGAGGAAGACUCAUUGCGAAGGCGACCUGCUAGAACAUAACUGACGCUGAUGCGCGAAAGCGUGGGGAGCAAACAGGAUUAGAUACCCCUGUAGUC
rnacentral:rRNA from 1 species